GUCGAGUGAUUGAGAUGGUGGUACUCGGCUUGGUGGUAGAGUGAUCGAGUGAAGGUGAUGUGGUGGAGGUGAUGAUACUCGACCACAUGGUCGAGUAUUAACAUCGAGUGGUUGUCUUGGUGGUACUCGACCACAGGGUCGAGUGGUGAUGUGUAGUGAUGAGGCCAUCUACUCGACCAGGGGGUCGAGUGGUUGUUGAAGUCGUGGAACCAUCUACUCGACCAGGGGGUCGAGUGUUUUGCAAUGAUCAGGUCCGCUUCUUCCAAUUAGCUCGGCAACAACUCAAAAUCACCUGAAAACAACACAAAUAUGCAACAUGCCUCUUAGGUUAGCUCUCGUCAAUGGUGAUUGAGUCUAGGACUAGUUUAACUUGAGGGUCUCUUUUGCGGUGGUACCUAGAUUUGGUUAUCGAACUUGUUGUCUAGGGAUAAUUUAUUGAGCAUGUCAAUCACCUGUAAACUGAGGAAACAAAACUACUCAAUUACCCCAUCCUCGGGAAUUCUUUAUCUAAUUGAUUUCUUUGUUAACUCUGCUAUUGUUUACUGCAUCUUGUUACCUGAUGCUUAGUUUUUGUAUUUUUCUCCUGUUACUCGACCUUAUUCUCGACCACCCAGUUGUUUGGCAACAGACUGUGCAGUCGAGUAUCUCUGUUACAUUUUCUGUCUGUUACUCGACCACACCCAGUGCUUGGCAACAAGCUGUGUUGAUCGGGUGUUUUUAUUGUUCUGCUUAAAUUUUU
rnacentral:sRNA from 1 species